rnacentral:rRNA from 1 species
GAUGAACGCUGGCGGCGUGCCUAAUACAUGCAAGUCGAGCGAACGGACGAGAAGCUUGCUUCUCUGAUGUUAGCGGCGGACGGGUGAGUAACACGUGGAUAACCUACCUAUAAGACUGGGAUAACUUCGGGAAACCGGAGCUAAUACCGGAUAAUAUUUUGAACCGCAUGGUUCAAAAGUGAAAGACGGUCUUGCUGUCACUUAUAGAUGGAUCCGCGCUGCAUUAGCUAGUUGGUAAGGUAACGGCUUACCAAGGCAACGAUGCAUAGCCGACCUGAGAGGGUGAUCGGCCACACUGGAACGGAGACGCGGUCCAGACUCCUACGGGAGGCAGCAGUAGGGAAUCUUCCGCAAUGGGCGAAAGCCUGACGGAGCAACGCCGAGUGAGUGAUGAAGGUCUUCGGAUCGUAAAACUCUGUUAUUAGGGAAGAACAUAUGUGUAAGUAACUGUGCACAUCUUGACGGUACCUAAUCAGAAAGCCACGGCUAACUACGUG